GCGCCUGUAGCUCAGCUGGAUAGAGCAACAGCCUUCUAAGCUGUGGGUCAAGGGUUCGAAUCCCUUCGGGCGUG
rnacentral:tRNA from 1 species